CCUACGGGAGGCAGCAGUGGGGAAUAUUGGGCAAUGGGCGCAAGCCUGACCCAGCAACGCCGCGUGAAGGAAGAAGGCUCUCGGGUUGUAAACUUCUUUUUAGAGGGAAGUGCAGAAGACUGUACGUCUUGCAUCAGCUACGGCUCACUACGUGCCAGCAGCCGCGGUAAUACGUAGGUGGCAAGCGUUGUCCGGAUUUACUGGGUGUAAAGGGCGUGCAGCCGGGAAGACAAGUCAGAUGUGAAAUCCCGCGGCUCAACCGCGGAACUGCAUUUGAAACUGUUGUUCUUGAGUACCGGAGAGGUCGUCGGAAUUCCUUGGGUAGCGGUGAAAUGCGUAGAUAUAAGGAAGAACACCGAUGGCGAAGGCAGAUGACUGGACGGCAACUGACGGUGAGGCGCGAAAGCGUGGGGAGCAAACAGGAUUAGAUACCCCAGUAGUC
rnacentral:rRNA from 1 species